UACGAAGGGGGCUAGCGUUGCUCGGAAUUACUGGGCGUAAAGGGCUCGUAGGCGGCCGCUUAAGUCAGACGUGAAAUCCCUCGGCUCACGGGGCACUGCGUCUGAGACUGAAUGGCUUGAAUCCGGGAGAGGGAUGCGGAAUUCCAGGUGUAGCGGUGAAAUGCGUAGAUAUCUGGAGGAACACCGGUGGCGAAGGCGGCUCUCUGGGACGGUACUGACGCUGAGACGCGAAAGCGUGGGGAGCGAACAGG
rnacentral:rRNA from 1 species